rnacentral:rRNA from 1 species
GGGUUGUGAGGUUAAGCGACUAAGCGUACACGGUGGAUGCCCUGGCAGUCAGAGGCGAUGAAGGGCGUGCUAAUCUGCGAUAAGCGCCGGUAAGGUGAUAUGAACCGUUAUAACCGGCGAUACCCGAAUGGGGAAACCCAGUGUGAUUCGUCACACUAUCAUUAACUGAAUCCAUAGGUUAAUGAGGCGAACCGGGGGAACUGAAACAUCUAAGUACCCCGAGGAAAAGAAAUCAACCGAGAUUCCCCCAGUAGCGGCGAGCGAACGGGGAGGAGCCCAGAGCCUGAAUCAGCAUGUGUGUUAGUGGAAGCGUCUGGAAAGGCGCGCGAUACAGGGUGACAGCCCCGUACACAAAAGCGCAUGUGCUGUGAGCUCGAUGAGUAGGGCGGGACACGUGGUAUCCUGUCUGAAUAUGGGGGGACCAUCCUCCAAGGCUAAAUACUCCUGACUGACCGAUAGUGAACCAGUACCGUGAGGGAAAGGCGAAAAGAACCCCGGCGAGGGGAGUGAAAAAGAACCUGAAACCGUGUACGUACAAGCAGUGGGAGCACCCUUUGGGGUGUGACUGCGUACCUUUUGUAUAAUGGGUCAGCGACUUAUAUUCUGUAGCAAGGUUAACCGAAUAGGGGAGCCGGAGGGAAACCGAGUCUUAAUUGGGCGUUAAGUUGCAGGGUAUAGACCCGAAACCCGGUGAUCUAGCCAUGGGCAGGUUGAAGGUUGGGUAACACUAACUGGAGGACCGAACCGACUAAUGUUGAAAAAUUAGCGGAUGACCUGUGGCUGGGGGUGAAAGGCCAAUCAAACCGGGAGAUAGCUGGUUCUCCCCGAAAGCUAUUUAGGUAGCGCCUCGUGAAUUCAUCUCCGGGGGUAGAGCACUGUUUCGGCUAGGGGGCCAUCCCGGCUUACCAACCCGAUGCAAACUGCGAAUACCGGAGAAUGUUAUCACGGGAGACACACGGCGGGUGCUAACGUCCGUCGUGAAGAGGGAAACAACCCAGACCGCCAGCUAAGGUCCCAAAGUCAUGGUUAAGUGGGAAACGAUGUGGGAAGGCCCAGACAGCCAGGAUGUUGGCUUAGAAGCAGCCAUCAUUUAAAGAAAGCGUAAUAGCUCACUGGUCGAGUCGGCCUGCGCGGAAGAUGUAACGGGGCUAAACCAUGCACCGAAGCUGCGGCAGCGAACGUAUCACCCAAGACAACUUUACGGAGUUGACGAUUGACGGAGCGAAGCGACGUCAAAGCGUUCAUUAAAGUCGAGUUGGCUUAGGGAUACGUUCGUUGGGUAGGGGAGCGUUCUGUAAGCCUGUGAAGGUGUGUCGUGAGGCAUGCUGGAGGUAUCAGAAGUGCGAAUGCUGACAUAAGUAACGAUAAAGCGGGUGAAAAGCCCGCUCGCCGGAAGACCAAGGGUUCCUGUCCAACGUUAAUCGGGGCAGGGUGAGUCGACCCCUAAGGCGAGGCCGAAAGGCGUAGUCGAUGGGAAACGGGUUAAUAUUCCCGUACUUGGUGUUACUGCGAAGGGGGGACGGAGAAGGCUAUGUUGGCCGGGCGACGGUUGUCCCGGUUUAAGCGUGUAGGUGUGUGUUCCAGGUAAAUCCGGUUCACUUUAACACUGAGGCGUGACGACGAGGCACUACGGUGCUGAAGCAACAAAUGCCCUGCUUCCAGGAAAAGCCUCUAAGCAUCAGGUAACAUCAAAUCGUACCCCAAACCGACACAGGUGGUCAGGUAGAGAAUACCAAGGCGCUUGAGAGAACUCGGGUGAAGGAACUAGGCAAAAUGGUGCCGUAACUUCGGGAGAAGGCACGCUGAUAUGUAGGUGAAGUGAUUUACUCAUGGAGCUGAAAUCAGUCGAAGAUACCAGCUGGCUGCAACUGUUUAUUAAAAACACAGCACUGUGCAAACACGAAAGUGGACGUAUACGGUGUGACGCCUGCCCGGUGCCGGAAGGUUAAUUGAUGGGGUCAGCGCAAGCGAAGCUCCUGAUCGAAGCCCCGGUAAACGGCGGCCGUAACUAUAACGGUCCUAAGGUAGCGAAAUUCCUUGUCGGGUAAGUUCCGACCUGCACGAAUGGCGUAAUGAUGGCCAGGCUGUCUCCACCCGAGACUCAGUGAAAUUGAACUCGCUGUGAAGAUGCAGUGUACCCGCGGCAAGACGGAAAGACCCCGUGAACCUUUACUAUAGCUUGACACUGAACAUUGAGCCUUGAUGUGUAGGAUAGGUGGGAGGCUUUGAAGCGUGGACGCCAGUCUGCGUGGAGCCGACCUUGAAAUACCACCCUUUAAUGUUUGAUGUUCUAACGUGGACCCGUAAUCCGGGUUGCGGACAGUGUCUGGUGGGUAGUUUGACUGGGGCGGUCUCCUCCUAAAGAGUAACGGAGGAGCACGAAGGUUGGCUAAUCCUGGUCGGACAUCAGGAGGUUAGUGCAAUGGCAUAAGCCAGCUUGACUGCGAGCGUGACGGCGCGAGCAGGUGCGAAAGCAGGUCAUAGUGAUCCGGUGGUUCUGAAUGGAAGGGCCAUCGCUCAACGGAUAAAAGGUACUCCGGGGAUAACAGGCUGAUACCGCCCAAGAGUUCAUAUCGACGGCGGUGUUUGGCACCUCGAUGUCGGCUCAUCACAUCCUGGGGCUGAAGUAGGUCCCAAGGGUAUGGCUGUUCGCCAUUUAAAGUGGUACGCGAGCUGGGUUUAGAACGUCGUGAGACAGUUCGGUCCCUAUCUGCCGUGGGCGCUGGAGAACUGAGGGGGGCUGCUCCUAGUACGAGAGGACCGGAGUGGACGCAUCACUGGUGUUCGGGUUGUCAUGCCAAUGGCACUGCCCGGUAGCUAAAUGCGGAAGAGAUAAGUGCUGAAAGCAUCUAAGCACGAAACUUGCCCCGAGAUGAGUUCUCCCUGAGACUUAGAGUCUCCUGAAGGAACGUUGAAGACGACGACGUUGAUAGGCCGGGUGUGUAAGCGCAGCGAUGCGUUGAGCUAACCGGUACUAAUGAACCGUGAGGCUUAACCUUACAACGCCGAAG